CCCACAACCCACACGGCGGUCGAAGCAGAAUCGACGGCGACGGAGGAGAUGAGGUGGAAAGUUUGGCGAGUUGGGGAAGAUGACGAUGAGAGCUGUAGAGGAAAAUCCAAAUGUUAAUUUUGUUUGGUUUUUGAGGAUUAUUCUUUUGAUGUAAUUGAAUGACGUGGAGCCUUGUUGAGGAUAGCGUAGUUAAAGUAUUAUCAUUAUAUAUGACGUGGAGCAUUGUUGAAGAUAUCAUCCGUGUUAAGUUUGAUCGUUAAUUCGACGAUCAAUUUUUAAUUAUGUGUCACAAAAAGCA
rnacentral:lncRNA from 1 species